rnacentral:lncRNA from 1 species
CACAUUGUCAAAUCAUGGACUAAUUAGGCUUAAUAGAUUCGUCUCGCCGUUUAGCCUCCACUUAUGUAAUCGGUUUUGUAAAUAGUCUAUGUUUAAUACUCCUAAUUAGUAUCUAAACAUUCGAUGUGACGGGUGCUUAAAUUUAAGCAAGUGAACCAAACCAAGCCUUAGAUUAGGUGAAAAAUUAAUUUGGCUUGAAUGCAAAUGCAAUUUGGCCAUCGAUUUUAUUUGCAGUGCGCCUGAUCCUUUGUAGAAUACCACUAGCAAUAGUGGCUGUGAUAUGAUAGUAAAAAUAGCUUGCAAAUCUGUCUUCCGUAUGUGCAGAUUUUGGUUAGCAGAUUUUAUCUUAGAAAUAGGAUGCAAAUAUGUCCUCUGUGAUAAUUAGUUUUGGUAAAAAAGAAUGGAAAUUUGAGUCUGCAUAUCUGAAUGGAAAACUAGAGCUUGGUUGCAUGCACUUUGUUUUCAUCAGGCCCAGUAGUCUAUCAGUGUAGACCAAGUUGACAUUUCCACCCCAGAUUGUAGCAUACACAAGAUUGUUUGAUCUUGGCCAAAUGAUCUGAAUGGCUAGUUGCUCAAAUGUUGGCUGAAAAUACUCCUACGUUUGUGCAUAGAGGGAUCAAAAUGUUUACCUUUGAUGUCCUUGAACCUUUCUUCUUUGUCAGAUUAAACUCUGUUUGGUUGUUACUGCAACUUGAACUACCACUUUUUUUAUGUUUAUGUCCACUUGUAUUGCAUAUCUAUACUUGUCUACCUUCCUUAAAUGUUUCUGAUUCUUAUAGCCCAAACUUUUCAUAAUAUAUUUGUUUGGUAUUUUGUGAAGAUGGUGUUCUCCGACAACAACGAUCUCAUAGCUCAAUGGUGGGUGGAAGAGGAUGAAUAUGAGUCUGAGUCUGAGUCUCAAUGGACAAUUUCUAUAUGCCUAUGUGGUUUUAUGUUUGAAAAUGAAUUUGAAUUUCAAUUGUGGUGUUUGAAAUCAUGAAUUUAAAUAUGGUUAAUUUGUAUGCAUUACAAAUAUUUUUAUUUGAAUUGCUGUUGUGUGAAAUGAAGAUUACACAUAGAAUAUGUAUGGAAAUAUAAGAGAAAAAGAAGUAGGGGCCAUUGCUGGAGUUGUGUAAAAAAAUAGGUCCCAGAAAAGUAGGGAGAGCCCCUAUUCAGGAAGUAGGGCUGGAGUUGUUCUUAGAUGGUGGUUACUAGUACUUCUAUCCGGGGAAGGUCGAGCUUAAUCACGUGGCGCGCCACGAGAUUUUGCUUGAAAAGAGUCUAUCACACGUUGAGCAGAUUAAAAACCAUUUCGACCAGCAGGCUAAAGUGCUAAACACAUCAUUACUUUGGUCGGUUCCUCUUUACAAUAUCAUAAACUAUGUUUUGUCGCAAAUCAUAUUAGCAAACUAAAAAAGAUUAAUCUGGUAAAAAUUCAGUUAACUAUGGUAUGCAACACAAAAUAAAAUAGAUUCGUGUCAUAUAUUAGUUAGUAUAUAUUGGAAUGGUGUUACUUAUGCAAGCUAUAUUAGUUAAAAGAAUUGGUAGGUGAACUGUCUAUUUUGAUAACUUUGCUAGCUACUCCAUCUGUUUCAAAUUUUAGGUCAUUUAGCUUCCUCCAUUUCAAAUUGUAAAAUGCAUUUUAGCUUUUCUAUUAAAUAUAUUUAUCUAUUCAUUUAGAUAACUAUAUCUAAAUACAAAGAAAACUAUGCAUGUUAAAAAGUCAGAACGGCUACAAUUUCAAGACGGAGUAGUAUAGUAGUUAGCAAGCAUGUUUAAUAGAGGGGAUUGCUACUUCACUAUCCCUCCGUGACUUUGCACCAACUGAACAGUUUGCUUUUCUUAAUUGCAAGUGAAUUGUCGUUAUAAAACUGAGCACAGAAAAUAAUGGAGGAAGUAUAUAAAACAAUGUUAAUAUAAUUCUUGUUUAUUUUUGUGAGAGUGGUAGCAUUUAUUCCGUCUUAGGGCCUGUUUGGUUAUGGAUGCUUAUUUAUAAGUUGCUUAUUUGCUUAUUGUAGUUGCUUAUUUAUAAGUCUUAAGUGUUUGAUUUGGGUUGCUUAUUUGCAAUAAAUGAGACUGCUAUUGACACAUUUACCCCUACCAUCCCAUUUCCCACUACCCCUAGUCAAUACCUGGGUAUUGGACCUCCUGGUCCUUCGCGGAGGCGGGGGGCGCGGAGGCGGGCGGCAGGCUGGGAGCGGCGGGGGGCGGAGGCGGCGG